ensembl:lncRNA
CUACAAGGGGAGGCAGGUCUGUGAGGGACUACACAGGGAGGCAGGUCAGUCAGGGACUACAAGGGGAGGCAGGUCUGUGAGGGACUACACAGGGAGGCAGGUCUUUGAGGGACUACAGGGGAGGCAGGUCUGUGAGGGACUACACAGGGAGGCAGGUCUGUGAGGGACUACACAGGGAGGCAGGUCUGUGAGGGACUACACAGGGAGGCAGGUCUGUGAGGGACUACACAGGGAGGCAGGUCAGUCAGGGACUACAGGGGAGGCAGGUCUGUGAGGGACUACAGGGGAAGCAGGUCAGUCAGGGACUACAGGGGAGGCAGGUCAGUGAGGGACUACAGGGGGAGGCAGGUCUGUGAGGGACUACAGGGGAGGCAGGUCAGUCAGGGACUACAGGGGAGGCAGGUCUGUGAGGGACUACAGGGGGAGGCAGGUCUGUGAGGGACUACAGGGGGAGGCAGGUCUGUGAGGGACUAUAGGGGGAGGCAGGUCUGUCAGGGACUACAGGGUGAGGCAGGUCUGUGAGGGACUACAGGGUGAGGCAGGUCUGUGAGGGACUACAGGGUGGGGCAGGUCUGUGAGGGUCACAGUGGAAUUACUGAGGACACCAAGCAGCAGGGGACAGAAGAGUCAAUAAACAGAGAGACUGCAACACUUUGAUAACAUUUCACAGAAGUUGUAGAGGGAAAGACAGACAGGGAGCUAAAUAAAGAGACAGCGGAAGAAAAGAGAGAAAAUGAGAGAUACAGAGAGUGGGAGAGGGAAUGAGAAUGAAAGAGGUAGAGAAAGAGAAGGAGUUAUGGGAACACUUGUCAUGUUCCAAAUGAUGGACCCAUACAGCAAGACUUGUCACAUCCGAUCCUGUGUAAACCAUUAUCUCUCCAAGGAACCCUAGAAAACCACCAGACUAGAGGAUGAAGUAGAACUCAUAAAGAUGCAAAAUAAUAAUCUUCCUGGGGUCCAAAAGCUCAUUGUUUAGCAUCAUCCCACUCACUAACAGCACAAGUACAGGUGUAUACACUCACCCGCUCAAUAACUGCACAAGUACAGCUGUAUAUGAGGACUCAACCCACUCUAACAGUAUAUGUAUUGCUGGUUAUGAGCAGUCAUCCCACACUCUAGAGAAAGGGAGAGACAGAGAAAGAGAGAAAGGAAAAUAGAACAAGUGAAUGUUAUGACAAAGGGACCUUGAACAUAUGUCCUUCUGUCCAGAUGGUCCUGGCAUGUUGCGACACCCUGGGAGGUGACAGAGAGUCCUGUGCCCUUGUCGGGUCUACCUUCAGCAUAUCCCAAAAUGUCACCCUGUUCCUUUAGACAAGGAGCCGGGUUAGGAUGGCGUCAUGGACGCCCUCCUCAACAGCCAGGGGUUCAAUCUGAAAGCUAAUCAGGAAGUGUGUUACUCGACGGGAGCGACGACUCCCCCGGUCCCAUUUAUUUCACAUAGUCAGCAACACAGGGCUGCAUUGAAACCGACAGGGAAGGUGCACAGUUUUUACUGCUGCAGGUCAGAAAGGUUGCAGAGGCGCGG